rnacentral:rRNA from 1 species
CCUACGGGGGGCUGCAGUGGGGAAUAUUGGACAAUGGGCGAAAGCCUGAUCCAGCCAUGCCGCGUGUGUGAAGAAGGCCUUCGGGUUGUAAAGCACUUUCAGUGGGGAAGAAAGCCUUGGGGCUAAUACCCUCGAGGAAGGACAUCACCCACAGAAGAAGCACCGGCUAACUCCGUGCCAGCAGCCGCGGUAAUACGGAGGGUGCGAGCGUUAAUCGGAAUUACUGGGCUUAAAGCGCGCGUAGGCGGUCUGAUAAGCCGGUUGUGAAAGCCCCGGGCUCAACCUGGGAACGGCAUCCGGAACUGUCAGGCUAGAGUGCAGGAGAGGAAGGUAGAAUUCCCGGUGUAGCGGUGAAAUGCGUAGAGAUCGGGAGGAAUACCAGUGGCGAAGGCGGCCUUCUGGACUGACACUGACGCUGAGGUGCGAAAGCGUGGGUAGCAAACAGGAUUAGUACCCCAGUAGUC